rnacentral:lncRNA from 1 species
AACUUACAUCCAUAUAUCACAGAAAUCCUGUAAAUGACAUCCACAAGAGCCAAAAAGAAAAAGGAACACAAAGGGGCUUGACCCCUCCAACAAUUCAAUCAAGGGAGUGCCCUUCAGAUACUUCGCUUCCAUAGUCAACUUCAUCAAGAAUGCUUGGAUGCAUAUUGCUUCCUUAGACCUUAAUUCAUGCCACCUGCAACCUAAAAGAACACGUAUAAGCAAUCACAUAAUGUCUUCAGAAAAAAUAUAUAUCCCUCCAACUUAAAAGGUGAUCACUGAGAAUUUUGUAAAGAAGUAAUAGUCUUGUAUGUAAGCAUGAAGAAGAUCACAAGAAUUGAACCAAUGGACUCACUAGAUGAUACAUGAUAUGCAUAGACUGGGAACUAAUGGAGGAAUGGACCAUAGAAAUAAUAUUACAUAAGAAUUAUGUCAUUCAGAAUGCACAACCAGUUCCAUGGUUUUCAGCACAUAAGCUGUCAGAAUUUCUGUCAGAGUUCAGUCCAGUUUCAAUGAACUAAUAAUGUUCAUGAAGAAGAAUUUUAGCGCAUAAGCAACAUAUAUAAGCUAACGACUAAGAAAUUCAUUUCAGCAUCCAAAUGGAUGGUCAGGUAACAAAAACAGAACAGAAGUACAGGAUUAAGAAAUUGGAUGGUAAAAUGAUUGAAUGUCUCAGUUUUAUUGUAGUUUGUUCGAAUUGGAGAAAAAUCUCAGUUGAGAAAGGUCUACAUGUUCUUCUAAACAUAAUGCUGACGGGAUUAAGAAUUGGACGAACCAGGUAGUGGUGCUUAAUCCCGUCCCUCCCUGUUAUCUACUUAUCAAAUGGGAAAGAUGUUUGAAUCUUUGAAUGGCUUUCAACUAACAGUGAUAAACACACAUGAAAUUCAUCUAUGCAAUCCACUUUCAGAAAGACAACUUUGCUUCCAUCUCUUCAGAUACCGGAGGCAUAUGUAGAGAAGGAACAUCAUAGUAACCUUAACUUCAAAUUCAACCAAAACAAAAAAGGAGGUGGACUGCAUCUGAAACUUGUUUUUAGUCCAGUACUAGACAUCACAUACUACAAAGCAAGUUGUUUGCACUUCAUUUUACAACUAUUAAUUCAAGUGCUUGAUAUGCUCCUUAUAGUAAGAGCUUAUCUUAUCCAAACCACACAACCAGAUUCUAAAACAAGCUAACAACUUCCCACGCAUUCAAUACAGUUUUGCUUGUUACACGUUGUAAAGCCACCAGACUCUUUUUUUACCCAAGUGUUUUGUUUUUUUUUUUUUUUCCGCCUCAAGCCCGUAGAAAAAUAGAUGAAGCUUUUAGACCAUCGAAAGAAAACAUUUUGGUGUCAUAGAAUAUACUUUCUUAAGAAGUUGUAAGUAUAAAAAAAAAUGAAAAUUGUAUCUUUCUAUGGUCUUCUAGCUUACCAUCAUAACCAUCAAGGUAAAACAAUUCGUAUAAACAAACAAAAGGAACCACAACACAAUAUAUACAGAAUAUAGGAGCAUCCUCAGAUUACAAAGCUUCAGACAUAUCAAAGAAAUGAUUUCUAUAAGUAAAAUAAAUUUGUAGAGCAAAGACUAAAAUAUAAAUGCACAAUCAGAAGUAAAGAAUCAGAACAAUAGCAAAAGUAAUAUAGCUUAACACAGAGAGAACAGGAUAGAGUCCGGUCUUCAAUACCGCAGAACAAAAAGUAGCUUGGAAGCAUACUAUUGAAUUCCAAAAAGAAUGAAACAUAACACUGACCUCCUUGUCAAUUACAGCCAAUAAUUUGGGGUGAAAAAAGACUGCUCACAUGGAUUACUGCUUGCUGAUAGUACUUUUCUUGCCUCCCAUCAUUUUGAAUCACAAUAUCCUCCAAAUUUCCCUUCUUGGGAUCAUAGUAGGCUAGUUCUACUUCUAUUCCUGGUUUCUGAAGCAAUAAUUUACCAUUCUUGAGCUUCGUCGCCUCAUAACCUCCUUCCCAAUCCCAAGGAUCAACCAUCUCAUCUCCACUUUCCAAAUUGUAAUCCAUAGCUCUGAACACCAUACUCUUCCAUCACCCACAUCUCAUUAUUAUAGGAAAGUCCACUUCUUUUUGUGUAGACCGGAGUACAAUCAGCAAUAAGUAGACAUAGGCAUUCUCCAAAAAAAACCCAGAUGAUAUGUCUUGUACUUUUUCUCCAAAGGAGGUUUUGGAAUUGU